rnacentral:rRNA from 1 species
GACGGAGGAUGCAAGCGUUAUCCGGAAUGAUUGGGCGUAAAGCGUCCGCAGGUGGCAGUUCAAGUCUGCUGUCAAAGACCGGGGCUUAACUUCGGAAAGGCAGUGGAAACUGAACAGCUAGAGUAUGGUAGGGGCAGAGGGAAUUCCUGGUGUAGCGGUGAAAUGCGUAGAGAUCAGGAAGAACAUCGGUGGCGAAGGCGGCCGACUGGGCCGGAUCCGACGCUCAAGCGCGAAAGCGUGGGGAGCAAACAGG